rnacentral:rRNA from 1 species
GAUGAACGCUGGCGGCGUGCCUAAUACAUGCAAGUCGAGCGAACAGACGAGGAGCUUGCUCCUCUGACGUUAGCGGCGGACGGGUGGGUAACACGUGGAUAACCUACCUAUAAGACUGGGAUAACUUCGGGAAACCGGAGCUAAUACCGGAUAAUAUAUUGAACCGCAUGGUUCAAUAGUGAAAGACGGUUUUGCUGUCACUUAUAGAUGGAUCCGCGCCGCAUUAGCUAGUUGGUAAGGUAACGGCUUACCACGGCAACGAUGCGUAGCCGACCUGAGAGGGUGAUCGGCCACAGUGGAACUGAGACACGGCACAGACUCCUACGGGAGGCAGCAGUAGGGAAUCUUCCGCAAUGGGCGAAAGCUUGACGGAGCAACGCCGCGUGAGUGAUGAAGGUCUUCGGAUCGUAAAACUCUGUUAUUAGGGAAGAACAAAUGUGUAAGUAACUAUGCACGUCUGGACGGUACCUAAUCAGAAAGCCACGGCUAACUACGU